CUACAAGACAAACAAAAUAAAACAGAGAGAACCAAAUCCUAUGGCGCUUCUUAUUCUGAGACCUCCUCCCCCUCCUUAUCUUCGCUUCAUGGCCUUACGCUUUCUCUCACACUCUUCUCUUCACCCUCACUUCCCCUCCUCUUCUUCUUCUUUCUCGUCUUCCUCUCUUGCUCGUCCCUCCCUCUUGUUCAACCCACAACCCAGGACCCAUAUUCCACUGAAGGGCGUUCCUAGCUGCUGUGUAGUUCGAAAUGCGGUUGCUCCAAGAGCUUUUAUGUCGUCUACCCCUGCAACCGAGGCUUUUCAAGGCAGCUCUGGCUCCAAUGCAUAUGGGUCUGAUCAGAUUCAGAUAAGUAUUGGAAGGCUUAGACCCUGUUAGAAAGAGGCCAGGGAUGUAUAUUGGGAGCACAGGACCCAUUUGGUCUAUGAAAUUUUAGAUAAUGCUGUGGAUGAGGCUCAAGCCGGAUUUGCUUCAAAGAUCGAGGUUGUUUUACUUGCAGAUGGUUCUGUGAGCAUCGCUGACAAUGGUCGUGGGAUUGUAGGGUUCGGGGGGAGGCCCCAGUUUUGCAGCCAAGUCCAGGAAGCGGGUUUGGGAGGAUUUGUAGAUUCUGACUGAUAUGCACCCAGCAACCAAGAAAUCUGCUCUCGAGACUGUGUUGAUGGUAUUAUUGCAUAAACUAUCAUUCUCAUUUCUAAUUUUUGUGUAGAGGUAGAAUGUAAUCCACUUCACAUUGCAUAGGGUUAGUUACUUUUUUCAUUAAAACCAGAAAGAUAAUAUUAUAUCAAAAAAUUAGGUAUAAAGGGUUUAGGUUAUCUAAAUAAGUCAAAUAUCAAGCAUAUGUUUCAGUGGCACUUUGAAGGUUUGGACCAUGAAUGAUAGAAACUCAACUAGUUCCGGGAUUUCUAGUGAUAGAAACACCUUUGGAAAUUGACGAGGUUUGAAAUUUUAUAUGUUUUUCUUAAUGAAGAAAAUAUGAAAUAAGCAACUUGGGAGCUAUUUUAAAUGCAGGAACAUUUUAUUGUUUUAUAAAUGAUAGUUCUUAUGAAAAUUAUUCAUGUUUUACAUGCUGGUGGCAAAUUUGGUGGUUCAAGUACUGGUAUAGUGUCUCUGGUGGCUUACAUGGUGUGGGUUUAUCUGUCGUCAAUGCCUCCCCUUACAAUCAAAUAAAACAAUAGCACUCUUUUGUUUUCUUGCAAAUUUACUGUUAGUGAUCCGAUGCUAUCUGCUGCAUUUGCUUUUAAAUCCAUGUCUUAUAACUCUCAUUUUAAUGAUGUGUGAAAUGGACCUGAAAUAUUAUUUAAACCAUAAGGCAUUCUGGUGGGAGUUCAGAUUGUAACACCUUGACAUUUCUUUGUGAUGAUGGCUAGAAUAUAUAAGUACCUUCUAUUCUAAUUCA